UGUUUAGGGGGUUUUCCGCCCCUUAGGUGGAUCAAGCUAAACGCAUUAAAGCACUCCCGCCUGGGGAGUACGACCGCAAGGUUGAAACUCAAAGGAAUUGACGGGGGCCCGCACAANCGGUGGAGCAUGUGGUUUAAUUCGAAGGCAACGCGAAGAACCUUACCAGGUCUUGACAUCCCACUGACCGGUUUAGAGAUAGGCUUUUCCCUUCGGGGACAGUGGUGACAGGUGGUGCAUGGUUGUCGUCAGCUCGUGUCGUGAGAUGUUGGGUUAAGUCCCGCAACGAGCGCAACCCUUGAUNUUAGUUGCCAGCAUUCAGUUGGGCACUNUAAGGUGACUGCCGGUGAUAAACCGGAGGAAGGUGGGGAUGACGUCAAAUCAUCAUGCCCCUUAUGACCUGGGCUACACACGUGCUACAAUGGACGAUACAAAGGGCUGCAAACCCGCGAGGGGGAGCCAAUCCCAUAAAAUCGUUCUCAGUUCGGAUUGUAGGCUGCAACUCGCCUACAUGAAGCCGGAAUCGCUAGUAAUCGUGGAUCAGCAUGCCACGGUGAAUACGU
rnacentral:rRNA from 1 species